rnacentral:rRNA from 1 species
UGAGUAACACGUAUCCAACCUGCCGUCUACUCUUGGACAGCCUUCUGAAAGGAAGAUUAAUACAAGAUGGCAUCAUGAGUCCACAUGUUCACAUGAUUAAAGGUAUUUUCCGGUAGACGAUGGGGAUGCGUUCCAUUAGAUAGUAGGCGGGGUAACGGCCCACCUAGUCUUCGAUGGAUAGGGGUUCUGAGAGGAAGGUCCCCCACAUUGGAACUGAGACACGGUCCAA